GUGAGGAAGGGGGUGACUAGUGACAGAGUGAGGGAGCGGGUGACACAGUGACAGAGUUAGGGAGGGAGUGACUAGUGACAGAGAGAGAGAUGGGGUGACUAGUGACAGUCACCCCCUCCCUCACUCUGUCUUCACUCCCUCCCUCUGUCACUAGUCACUCCCUCCCUCUGUCACUUGUCACUCCCUCACUCUGUCACCAGGCAUCCCCUCACUCUGUCACCAGUCAUCCCCUCACUCUGUCACUAGUCACCUCUUCCCUCCCUCAC